AUGGAAUAUGGUUGGCACAGUGUAUUUGAUUAACAAGUCACAGUGGAGCGUCCAGUAGACAGUUUCUAUCUGCUUGAUGGGGUAAUCACUAUUUCCGUUGCGUAUGAGGAGGUUCAGAGAGGUGAAGAAGCUUGACCGAGUUUACUCAUGUGGCAAGUGGCAGUGCUGGGAUUAGAUCCCCCACUGUCUCCAGGUAAGAAACUCUGGUUCCCACGCAAAGUGCUCUCCUCCAGCCGGCUUCUGUCCUGUGCGCCGAGGUCCUGGCUUCCUCUGCAGCCCUUCUGGCCUCUUCGUCCUCACCGCCUGCAGGGUCUCUGCCAUCCACAGAGGAACUGGAAGACACUUGGAUUUAUUCAAGAACAAGUUUCGUGCCAUGCUGGGGAAUUUUCUGUGAGAAGUACACAUUUCUGUAUACAAGGGAAGUAAGAUGUAUGUUUUCAGUAAAGAAGGUAUAAAGAAUAGAGACAUUUUUGUUUGUUUUGUUAAGAAAGAGAAGUUUGUCCUAACAUUCUAGGAAACAAAAAAGGAAAGAAGGCAUGGGACAAAUUCUGAAUGUAAAAAGCAAGUGACGGAAGGUUUGUGGAAAUAAAACCCUGAAGAAAGAGUUUUGUGCGUGGUCAAGUUGGUUAAGAUUAAAAUGAAUUUAAUUAUGUGAAUAAGUUUCAGCAUCAAAAGUAAGCUGGCGCAGGGCACUCACUGGGGUCUGUGUCAGCCCGCCUGGACCAGCUCAGAACAAUGGCCCCCAACGAUGUCUCAGUCUCCGGAGAGGUCCCUCUUCUCACCAAGAUGUCCCCAGAGCCCACCAGAUUUCCAACCUGGGAAGAAAUACUUGGAAAUUCCCAUGUAUCUCAUGAGACUACAUGGAUUUCUUAAGAAUAAUUUCUUCUGAAAUGAAAUAUAUAAUAUUGAGUAAUUUUUAUUUUGUAUUAAGAAAAGAAUAAUCAUGACUUGUACUACUCCUAUGGAAAAAACCCCACUGCACUUGGCAACCAAGGCCAUGUAUAUAAUUUCAUAGGAGAGGAAAAUAUGAGACCACAGUUUAUCACUUUUUUGUACAUUGUUGCUUUGUAUCGCUACAGUAGCUGCUCUUCUUGAAAAUGUGGACUGUAACACAUAGUGAGUUUUAACAGAUCGUUGGGUGUUACUCUGUCAGUAGGACCCUUUUCUCUUAUUUAGCUCAAUGUCCACAUCACCACAGUCACUGGUAAAACUGAUAACUAGAUACACGUCUCCAAUUGUAGUCUAUGUGGGAACAAAAAUUUCAACAAAUAGUCCAACUUAAUAUGGUCUUACAGUCAGAUACCGCCUUAAUAUGACAAAGCAAAAUGUUAAGUUAUAAGUUUAUUACUAUGUGAACUAUUUUUGUGGUGUACAUUUACUUAUUAAUGUACGUAAGAUUGGUGUCUAUGUGUAAAGCAGUUUAUCACUGAAGUGCAGGAUUGUUUGGUGUAAUUGUGUUUUUUAUUGAAUUACCUUCUAAAUUCUGCUUGAGAACUUCCAUUACCGCCUACAAAUAUGUUUCCUUCCAUUGCUCUACAUGAAUAUCUCCCCUUGUCCUAAAUUUUCUCAUAAACACUAAAUGGGCAGUGAAGGAACACUAUCAAUAUCAUCCAUUAUAUAUGUCCUUUCUAUAGUGUAAUAUAUGCAAAUGAUUACAUACAUAUAAACGAUCAAAGGAUGACACACUAGAGAGCGUGAAUUCCUGUCCGAUCCUGUGACUCAGAGUCAUGGGUUUUGUAAAAAUCUGCAUAUCUCUUCAACCUCUCUGGUUCCUUAUUAGGGAACCUCCAUGGAGUCACUUUUUAAUAGAAUUAUAUGAAGUGAGCUUGAAGAACAGAGUGAUCAUGAAUGCUAUCUUCAAAUAUCAGAACAAAUGUCUAGACUGUGAAGUAAGAGAUUAUUACGAUUUCCUUCAGUUCUGUUCACUUUGAUUAUUGUAUCAGGUAGCUGUUGCUGCAUAACAAGUCAUACCAAAAGCAAAUAGUUUAACGUAAUGCAUUUAUUCUCAAAUGAGAACUGAUGAGGAGAAGUUAUUCUGAGCUCUGAUGAGCUCCUCGCAGGCUUCUUGUUGGCUGGCAGUCUCUUUACUGUGUUUCUCAGGAGCAUCCACAGUGUGUGCAGUUGUGGUGCUCUUCUGUCUUCAUCCACUUUCAUUCAUUUCACUCCUUUUAUAUCUGAAGAUUAGUCUUUAGUUUAUGGAAAAAAUGGGUUUGUCAAAUGUUAAUUACUUUAUUUUAAUUCCACUGUUCCUAUAUUCAUAUAAGACAUUUUUCUUUCUUCCCAGUUAGAAGAGAUAUCUUGCACCACUUUUAGGUGUGACUCAGCUACCUGUGCCCUAGAUCCCACCCUGAGCCAUGCACCAGCAAAAAUGUUAAAAUCUUAACUAAUUACAUAAAAUAAACUGCACAUAUUUAAAGCAUAUUUUUUAAAAAUAUUAAAGGAACCAUACAAAAAUUGAGUAUAUAGUACAUGAUUCCUUUUACACAUAAUUCAAAAAGAUGUACAGUAAUGUUUAACUGCUUUGUUAUGCCAUCAUAACAAAAUGUAAUCACCUGAGCCCUAAUUUCCUUAUUUCUGAAGAUAAUGUGAGAUUUACCCUAAAUUCAGAUGAAUGUUGGAGGAAUAAAUAAAAUGCGUAGAAAUACUCUGUUGAGUCAAAUAAAAUGUUCAAGUUCAAAAAAAAAAGUAAGCUGGCGCAAAAUUAGAAUUUGACUGUCUCUCUCUUAAGAGGAUAAUCUUGAACUUUUGGUCUGCUCUUGAUAAAAAGGUUAUAAAAAGGUUUUUCUUUAUUUUU
ensembl:lncRNA